GCAAGUCGAGCGCACCUUCGGGUGAGCGGCGGACGGGUUAGUAACGCGUGGGAACAUACCCUUUUCUACGGAAUAGCCUCGGGAAACUGAGAGUAAUACCGUAUAAGCCCUUCGGGGGAAAGAUUUAUCGGAGAGGGAUUAGCCCGCGUUGGAUUAGGUAGUUGGUGGGGUAAUGGCCUACCAAGCCGACGAUCCAUAGCUGGUUUGAGAGGAUGAUC
rnacentral:rRNA from 1 species